AAUAUAUUUAGGUAUAGCGUUGUGUCGUAAUAUAAGGGGGUAGAGCACUGAAUGGGCUAGGGCAUACACCAAUGUACCAAACCCUAUCAAACUCCGAAUACCUUAUAUGUAAUCACAGCAGUCAGGCGGCGAGUGAUAAAAUCCGUCGUCAAGAGGGAAACAACCCAGACUACCAGCUAAGGUCCCUAAAUCUUACUUAAGUGGAAAACGAUGUGAAGUUACUUAAACAACCAGGAGGUUGGCUUAGAAGCAGCCAUCCUUUAAAGAAAGCGUAAUAGCUCACUGGUCUAGUGAUUUUGCGCGGAAAAUAUAACGGGGCUAAAGUAAGUACCGAAGCUGUAGACUUGCACACAACUUAGAUUAUUUAAGUUUAGAAUAUGAGAAACUAAGUUAUAUGUUUAGUUAUAUUUUUACUGAUUUUUAUAGAGUAAAGAUAGAAAUAAAACUUAGUAAAAUCAGUAAAAAUAUUCUUAGACUAAAGUUAAGUAGUUUAAGUUGUGUGCAAGUGGUAGGAGAGCGUUCUAUUUGCGUCGAAGGUAUACCGGUAAGGAGUGCUGGAGCGAAUAGAAGUGAGCAUGCAGGCAUGAGUAGCGAUAAUUAAUGUGAGAAUCAUUAACGCCGUAAACCCAAGGUUUCCUACGCGAUGCUCGUCAUCGUAGGGUUAGUCGGGUCCUAAGUCGAGUCCGAAAGGGGUAGACGAUGGCAAAUUGGUUAAUAUUCCAAUACCAACAUUAGUGUGCGAUGGAAGGACGCUUAGGGCUAAGGGGGCUAGCGGAUGGAAGUGCUAGUCUAAGGUCGUAGGAGGUUGUACAGGCAAAUCCGUAUAACAAUACUCCGAGAACUGAAAGGCUUUUUGAAGUCUUCGGAUGGAUAGAAGAACCCCUGAUGCCGUCGAGCCAAGAAAAGUUUCUAAGUUUAGCUAAUGUUGCCCGUACCGUAAACCGACACAGGUGGGUGGGAUGAGUAUUCUAAGGCGCGUGGAAGAACUCUCUUUAAGGAACUCUGCAAAAUAGCACCGUAUCUUCGGUAUAAGGUGUGGUUAGCUUUGUAUUAGGAUUUACUCCGAAAGCAAGGAAACUUACAACAAAGAGUCCCUCCCGACUGUUUACCAAAAACACAGCACUCUGCUAACUCGUAAGAGGAUGUAUAGGGUGUGACGCCUGCCCGGUGCUCGAAGGUUAAUUGAUGGGGUUAGCAUUAGCGAAGCUCUUGAUCGAAGCCCGAGUAAACGGCGGCCGUAACUAUAACGGUCCUAAGGUAGCGAAAUUCCUUGUCGGUUAAAUACCGACCUGCAUGAAUGGCGUAACGAGAUGGGAGCUGUCUCAAAGAGGGAUCCAGUGAAAUUGUAGUGGAGGUGAAAAUUCCUCCUACCCGCGGCAAGACGGAAAGACCCCGUGGACCUUUACUACAGCUUGACACUGCUACUUGGAUAAGAAUGUGCAGGAUAGGUGGGAGGCUUUGAGUAUAUGACGCCAGUUGUAUAUGAGCCAUUGUUGAGAUACCACUCUUUCUUAUUUGGGUAGCUAACCAGCUUGAGUUAUCCUCAAGUGGGACAAUGUCUGGUGGGUAGUUUGACUGGGGCGGUCGCCUCCCAAAUAAUAACGGAGGCUUACAAAGGUUGGCUCAGAACGGUUGGAAAUCGUUCGUAGAGUAUAAAGGUAUAAGCCAGCUUAACUGCAAGACAUACAAGUCAAGCAGAGACGAAAGUCGGUCUUAGUGAUCCGGUGGUUCUGUGUGGAAGGGCCAUCGCUCAAAGGAUAAAAGGUACCCCGGGGAUAACAGGCUGAUCUCCCCCAAGAGCUCACAUCGACGGGGAGGUUUGGCACCUCGAUGUCGGCUCAUCGCAUCCUGGGGCUGGAGCAGGUCCCAAGGGUAUGGCUGUUCGCCAUUUAAAGCGGUACGCGAGCUGGGUUCAGAACGUCGUGAGACAGUUCGGUCCCUAUCUGCCGUGGGCGUAAGAAGAUUGAAGAGAUUUGACCCUAGUACGAGAGGACCGGGUUGAACAAACCACUGGUGUAGCUGUUGUUCUGCCAAGAGCAUCGCAGCGUAGCUAAGUUUGGAAAGGAUAAACGCUGAAAGCAUCUAAGCGUGAAGCCAACUCUAAGAUGAAUCUUCUCUAAGCUCUCUAGAAGACUACUAGUUUGAUAGGCUGGGUGUGUAAUGGAUGAAAGUCCUUUAGCUGACCAGUACUAAUAGAGCGUUUGGCUUAUCUUUAAUAAAGCAU
rnacentral:rRNA from 1 species